UCCUUCGGUUUGUUUCGGAUCCCGUCUCCACCCGCCGUUCAAGCAGAGAAUCCUGAUUUGUUAAGUUUUCCCCCUAAAUAAAUAUCUGUCUCUCAGUUCUGAGCUAGUGUGGGACUUCUUUUAAGCGUCCCAUCUCUCCGCCAUCAGCCGAGGUCUGUGGCUCUCCGGACUGGGGUUCCAGACACGCGACUCUGAGUGCAUGCCGAACUACUUCUCAAGAGCUAGACGGAGUCAGGAGCAUCCAAGACCGGCUGCCGCUUCCCUUUGAAUAUGUUUAAACUACCACACAGAGAGUUUGCUGGGAGUCUUAGGAUUCCGUGCACCUGGAGAGCUGAGAACCCUCCACGACGCUGAUGCUGAGGUUCUUGCUUUCGAAUUAUGUUCGACUCCCGGUGUUAGCUUUGUCUUCAUGUUUCUCCAAAUAGUCUCUCCAAUUCUUGAAAAAUACUGCUAUUGUUCUAAUAAAAUGACAUAUUGUGAAAGUUCA